rnacentral:rRNA from 1 species
UACGUAUGGGGCGAGCGUUGUCCGGAUUUAUUGGGCGUAAAGAGCUCGUAGGCGGUUUGGCAAGUCGGGUGUGAAAACUCCGGGCUCAACUCGGAGACGCCACUCGAUACUGCCAUGACUCGAGUCCGGUAGGGGAGUGCGGAAUUCCUGGUGUAGCGGUGAAAUGCGCAGAUAUCAGGAGGAACACCGGUGGCGAAGGCGGCACUCUGGGCCGGUACUGACGCUGAGGAGCGAAAGCGUGGGGAGCGAACAGG